rnacentral:rRNA from 1 species
AUUGAGCGCUGGCGGAAUGCUUUACACAUGCAAGUCGAGCGGCAGCGCGGGGCAACCUGGCGGCGAGCGGCGAACAGGUGAGUAACACAUCGGAACGUACCUGGUUGUGGGGGAUAACGAAUCGAAAGAUUCGCUAAUACCGCAUAAGACCUGAGGGUGAAAGCGGGGGAUUUUUGGGCAACCGAAGACCUUGCGCGACUGGAGCGGCCGAUGUCGGAUUAGCUAGUUGGUGAGGUAAAGGCUCACCAAGGCGACGAUCCGUAGCGGGUAUGAGAGUAUGGCCCGCCACACUGGGACUGAGACACGGCCCAGACUCCUACGGGAGGCAGCAGUGGGGAAUUUUGGACAAUGGGCGCAAGCCUGAUCCAGCCAUUCCGCGUGAGUGAAGAAGGCCUUCGGGUUGUAAAGCUCUUUCGGACGGGAAGAAAUUGCACGGGCCAAUACCCCGUGUAGAUGACGGUACCGUAAGAAGAAGCACCGGCUAACUACGUGCCAGCCGCCGCCGUAA